GUACUAGCUACGACGGUACAUAUUCUAAAAUUGGAACGAUACAGAGAUUAGCAUGGCCCCUGCUCAAGGACGACACGCAAAUUUGUGAAGCGUUCCAUAUAUUU
rnacentral:snRNA from 1 species